rnacentral:lncRNA from 1 species
GCCCGACAUUGGGGUAUCACUAGUCAUGAACAUCUAACAUAACCGAUUCAAAAGUAACAAGACUAACAUAGUCUAGAAUCCAAAUACAGUAAAUAAGGAAAGAUAGGGAAGAAGAAAGCAGGGCUGCGAACGCCGGCAGCUAUGUCGCAAUCUCCAAUGACCAGCUACGGGUACUAUCAACAAUCACCGCGUCCAAUAACUCCUAGAUUUGCACACGAGGUGCAUGGAGUAACGUGAGUACGCCAACUCAGUAAGUAACAAUAAUAAAUAAGGAACUGAAGAUAGUGACGAGUUACACAAUUUUAGUUCAUUUCAAUAAUUUUAGAAAGGAAAAUAGUCAUGCUUCCCAAGUUCCGAUAAAUUAAAUCAAAUCAGUUUAUUUCAGGCAGGUUGAAGUAAAAUCAGAUAAAAAUAUCUUUCAAUAGUUUUCAAAAUAAAGUUAAAACUUAAAUUAAAAAAAUAGAAAAUAAAUUUAAAAAUAGUGGGCUGGCCGAGGAGGCCCGUAGCCCGCUGGGUUGGACUGACCAUUUUAAAGCCCGCCAAAAUAGUGGGCCAGGCCAACCCGUCCAACGUCAAAGCCCGCAUGGGCUGGGCUAGGCUGGGCUGGGCUAGCCCAUAUUGACAACUCUAAUUAAUUAGAUAGAAAUGAACUAGUAUUGUCUUUAACAAAAUGUUUCCAUUUUAGACAUCAAUACCAUUAAUCCCAUUCUUUAGAUUUUUUCACACUGCCCCUUCAACUUAAUGAUACUAGCAUGACGACCUCGAUUUUGGAAGUUUGCCUGAUAGCCACAGCAUUUUUCUAUGUAUUACAAAUAUAGAUUAUAUGUGAGUAACACAAAAUUCCGAUUAAAAAGCAUGUUAUUAAAGCACAAUGUCAUCAAAUAGCACAUGAGGAUUACCGUUGUUAUUUUCACACUAAUUCUAUGACUUCACGGGAAUCUAGAAGUUAAUAAAUUGCUAACGGUAAAAAUUUACCCAUAUUGGAGUAAAAAGAGGGUUUUCUACUAAAGCUUUAGUAAGCAUUAGGCGAAAGCGGAUGGAAACCCUAAAACUUUAUAAUGUUAGUUAUUAUAACUAUAAUAUCUUUAUAUAUUUUUUAUUUAUUAAAAAUAAGAUUCUUAAUUAGUAGACUUUAGUUUGUCAUGUCACUACUUGAAAACUGGCAACAUUCUUCCAAACAAUAUCGACCGAAGUCGAUCGAUUUUUGUAAACCUUUAUAUAAAUAGUUUUUAAAUAAAUAAUAUUUAAUACUCUAUUGAUAUAUAUACAUACACACACGCACACAUAUGUGUGUGUGUGUGUGCGUGUGUGAGUGUGUGUGUGUGUUUUUUUAAAUUAUUUUUAUAUGGACACUAUAUCCUAUCUAUGUAUGUAUAUAUAAUAUUUUUGAUUUAUUUAACAUUCAAAAUUUUAAUAUUCAAUAUUUAAUAUCGAAUAUAGCUUGCUUAUAUAUAUAUAUAUAGACACACACAUAUAUCUGAUAUCGAAUGUAGCUUAUAUAUACUAUACUAUAUUAUACUAUAUUAUAUAUAGUGUAAUAUGUAAUAAUUUAGAAAUCAGUUCCGACCGAUUUUGGUCGGUAAUGUCCAGUCAAACGGUCAAAUUAUAAUUAAUAGUACCGACCAAAAAAUUUUGACCGACUUCGAUCGGAAAUUUCUAAUUAAGAACAGUUGCAGUGGGGUUCUUCCCCAUUUUUCUCUUUACUCUUUCUCUCUUCCGUCUUCCACAUCUGAAAAUCCUCCCCUAAAUCACUUCACCACUCUCUUCUCACCAAAAA